GGGGCUUUAAAGCAGGAUUUUGCUUGUUUUACUCUUAAUAAUAUGGAAAAACAGCCUCUAACAGGCUUUAUGAACAGUUGUAGAGGUUAAAAAUGUGUGUAAAGUGUCCUAAAGUGGCAUAAAAUACCCAAUUUCAGAGUUUGAAAGUGUUAAUUCUCCCUGAAGCCGGUUAAACUUUGUGUAUUGGUGAAGAGAAGCUCAGGCUGUUUUAUUUGGUGGGAAAAGCGAACGAACUUCCCAAGCUGAAACUACACUUCCCAGAGUUCUGUGCGAGGGACGACUGCGGGGCGAGCACGCGGAGAGACCGACAGACAGACGCAGGUAUUUGGACCCACAAUGCACUGUGAUGGCUGGUUUGAAGAUUCAGUUUUGACUUCUUCAGGAAGUCCUGGGAAUGACAAUGGCGGCGCCUUCACAGAGCUCCAUUGAGACAUGUUAUUAAGUGAGGAAAUAGUCCAGUAGGUGACAGAAUAACUAUGAGUAAGUGCA